UGUUCAAAAGCAAAGUACUUUGGGAAGCCA
rnacentral:piRNA from 1 species